rnacentral:rRNA from 1 species
AUACGUAGGUGGCAAGCGUUAUCCGGAAUUACUGGGCGUAAAGGGAGCGUAGGCGGAUUUUUAAGUGAGAUGUGAAAUACUCGGGCUUAACCUGAGUGCUGCAUUUCAAACUGAAAGUCUAGAGUGCAGGAGAGGAGAAGGGAAUUCCUAGUGUAGCGGUGAAAUGCGUAGAGAUUAGGAAGAACACCAGUGGCGAAGGCGCUUCUCUGGACUGUAACUGACGCUGAGGCUCGAAAGCGUGGGGAGC